rnacentral:tRNA from 1 species
UUUGAUUUGGCAGAUUAAUGCCGUUGAUUUAGGAUCAGCUCAUAACAUUUAUUGUUAAUCGGAG